rnacentral:rRNA from 1 species
AUUGAACGCUGGCGGCAGGCCUAACACAUGCAAGUCGAGCGGAUGAAGGGAGCUUGCUCCUGGAGUCAGCGGCGGACGGGUGAGUAAUGCCUAGGAAUCUGCCUGGUAGUGGGGGAUAACGUCCGGAAACGGGCGCUAAUACCGCAUACGUCCUGAGGGAGAAAGUGGGGGAUCUUCGGACCUCACGCUAUCAGAUGAGCCUAGGUCGGAUUAGCUAGUUGGUGGGGUAAAGGCCUACCAAGGCGACGAUCCGUAACUGGUCUGAGAGGAUGAUCAGUCACACUGGAACUGAGACACGGUCCAGACUCCUACGGGAGGCAGCAGUGGGGAAUGUUGGACAAUGGGCGAAAGCCUGAUCCAGCCAUGCCGCGUGUGUGAAGAAGGUCUUCGGAUUGUAAAGCACUUUAAGUUGGGAGGAAGGGCAGUAAGUUAAUACCUUGCUGUUUUGACGUUACCAACAGAAUAAGCACCGGCUAACUUCGUG